rnacentral:rRNA from 1 species
UGGGGAAUUUUGGACAAUGGGCGAAAGCCUGAUCCAGCAAUGCCGCGUGUGUGAAGAAGGCCUUCGGGUUGUAAAGCACUUUUGUCCGGAAAGAAAUCCUUGGCUCUAAUACAGUCGGGGGAUGACGGUACCGGAAGAAUAAGCACCGGCUAACUACGUGCCAGCAGCCGCGGUAAUACGUAGGGUGCAAGCGUUAAUCGGAAUUACUGGGCGUAAAGCGUGCGCAGGCGGUUUGCUAAGACCGAUGUGAAAUCCCCGGGCUCAACCUGGGAACUGCAUUGGUGACUGGCAGGCUAGAGUAUGGCAGAGGGGGGUAGAAUUCCACGUGUAGCAGUGAAAUGCGUAGAGAUGUGGAGGAAUACCGAUGGCGAAGGCAGCCCCCUGGGCCAAUACUGACGCUCAUGCACGAAAGGCGUGGGGAGCAAACAGGAUUAGAUACCCUGGUAGUCCACGCCCUAAACGAUGUCAACUAGUUGUUGGGGAUUCAUUUCCUUAGUAACGUAGCUAACGCGUGAAGUUGACCGCCUGGGGAGUACGGUCGCAAGAUUAAAACUCAAAUGAAUUGACGGGGUCAUAGCUGUUUCCU